AUUGAACGCUGGCGGCAGGCCUAACACAUGCAAGUCAAGCGGAUGAAGGGAGCUUGCUCCUGGAUUCAGCGGCGGACGGGUGAGUAAUGCCUAGGAAUCUGCCUGGUAGUGGGGGAUAACGUCCGGAAACGGGCGCUAAUACCGCAUACGUCCUGAGGGAGAAAGUGGGGGGUCUUCGGACCUCACGCUAUCAGAUGAGCCUAGGUCGGAUUAGCUAGUUGGUGGGGUAAAGGCCUACCAAGGCGACGAUCCGUAACUGGUCUGAGAGGAUGAUCAGUCACACUGGAACUGAGACACGGUCCAGACUCCUACGGGAGGCAGCAGUGGGGAAUAUUGGACAAUGGGCGAAAGCCUGAUCCAGCCAUGCCGCGUGUGUGAAGAAGGUCUUCGGAUUGUAAAGCACUUUAAGUUGGGAGGAAGGGCAGUAAGUUAAUACCUUGCUGUUUUGACGUUACCAACAGAAUAAGCACCGGCUAACUUCGUG
rnacentral:rRNA from 1 species